rnacentral:rRNA from 1 species
AGUGAAGCGGGAAAAGCUCAAAUUUAAAAUCUGGCGGUCUUUGGCUGUCCGAGUUGUAAUCUAGAGAAGUGUUACCCGCGUUGGACCGUGUACAAGUCUCCUGGAAUGGAGCGUCAUAGAGGGUGAGAAUCCCGUCUUUGACACGGACUGCCAGGGCUUUGUGGUGCGCUCUCAAAGAGUCGAGUUGUUUGGGAAUGCAGCUCAAAAUGGGUGGUAAAUGCCAUCUAAAGCUAAAUAUAGGCGAGAGACCGAUAGCGAACAAGUACCGUGAGGGAAAGAUGAAAAGAACUUUGGAAAGAGAGUUAAACAGUACGUGAAAUUGCUGAAAGGGAAACGCUUGAAGUCAGUCACGCUGCGGAGAAUCAACCUUGCUUUUGCUUGGUGUACUUUUCUGUUGGCGGGUCAGCAUCAGUUUUGAUCGUUGGAUAAAGUCUAUGGAAAUGUGGCACCUUCGGGUGUGUUAUAGUCUGUAGUCGCAUACAACGGUUGGGACUGAGGAACUCAGCGCGCCGCAAGGCCAGGUUUCGACCAUGUUCGCGCUUAGGAUGCUGGCAUAAUGGCUUUAAUCGACCCGUCUUGAAACACGGACCAAGGAGUCUAACAUGCCUGCGAGUGUUUGGGUGGAAAACCCGAGCGCGUAAUGAAAGUGAAAGUUGAGAUCCCUGUCGUGGGGAGCAUCGACGCCCGGACCAGACCUUCUGUGACGGAUCCGCGGUAGAGCAUGUAUGUUGGGACCCGAAAGAUGGUGAACUAUGCCUGAAUAGGGUGAAGCCAGANGAAACUCUGGUGGANGCUCGUAGCGAUUCUGACGUGCAAAUCGAUCGUCAAAUUUGGGU